CUGUCUGUGUGUCUGUGUGUCUGUCUGUGUGUCUGUCUGUCUGUCUGUGUGUCUGUGUGUCUGUCUGUCUGUCCCCUGUCACCAUCUGAUGGACCUGGUGCUGCUCUUCACUCUGUCGCUCUGCUGGUGGACGGUGGCUGGCAGGUCACUAUGGAGCGAGACACCUAAGAUCCUCAUCGCCACUGACGAGAUUGAGGACAGAGAACAGUGAAGGUCGUCUGUACUCUUCCUAUUGACUACACCGGAGGCGACUGUCGCCUGUGGAGAGAACACUCCCACAAACCCUUCAAAGUGUUUACGACGGCGGCUUUCAGCUGCACCUUUUACGUGACCUCAAAGGAGCUACUGGGGACACACCAGGUGGGCAGUCACGUCUACCUCAAGUGUGACUAUCACCUGCAGCAGUACACUUCACCAUUCAGUGACAUCAGAGGUGUGACCGUCUGGGGUGAGUGUGCUGCUACACAUACUACCAGUCUUUAUGCUAAGAUAGGCUAGCAGUCACCCCCUUCCCUGCUUCUAGUCUUGUGCUAAGCUAAGCUAGCAAUGCCCUUAUCUCUGCUACCAGGUUUAUGCCCUUCCUUGCUAUCAGUGUUAAUGCUAAACCUUGAGGAUUGUAAGGACAUUGUGAGGACUCUGAGGGUUGUGAGGACAUUGUGAGGACUCUGAGGGUUGUGAGGACCUUGUGAGGACGUUGUUAGGACUCUGAGGGUUGUGAGGACCUUGUGAGGACGUUGUUAGGACUCUGAGGGUUGUGAGGACGUUGUGAGGACUCUGAGGGUUGUGAGAACCUUGUGAGGACUCUGAGGGUUGUGAGGACCUUGUGAGGACUCUGAGGGUUGUGAGGACCUUGUGAGGAUUCUGAGGGUUGUGAGGACCUUGUGAGGAUUCUGAGGGUUGUGAGGACCUUGUGAGGACUCUGAGGGUUGUGAGGACUUUGUGAGGAUUCUGAGGGUUGUGAGGACGUUGUUAGGACUCUGAGGGUUGUGAGGACUUUGUGAGGACUCUGAGGGUUGUGAGGACCUUGUGAGUACGUUGUUAGAACUCAGAGGGUUGUAAGGUCCUUGUGAGGACUCUGUGGGUUGUGAGACCAGUUCCGCAUCGCAGAGGGGUCCUGCAGCCAGAACCUGACCAGCAAGCAGCUCGCCAUCUGGGAGAAACCCACCCUGCUGCUUACCAUCAAGCUGACAUGCAAAUACUAUCCAGACGCUCGCCGUAAUGUCCGCUCUGAGCCCAGCAACCACAACAUGCUGUUUGUUGUUGGUAAGGAGCCAAUCAGAUUCAUCCUGAGUCACACUCACAGUCAAUCACAGCCAGCGUUCAGGUGAACACCUGUGGAGCUGAGAGAGCAAUGAGAACACCAAACACAACCGUCCUGUUCUUCAAGUACAGAAGUGACAAAGUUCUGCAGGAAUCAGUUAGAUAUUAGCAUGUUAGCACAUUAGCAUGUUAGCACA